rnacentral:misc_RNA from 1 species
UCUCGGCUUAUCACCGGCAGUCCCCCUAGAGUGCCCAACUGAAUGAUGGCAACUAAGGGCGAGGGUUGCGCUCGUUGCGGGACUUAACCCAACAUCUCACGACACGAGCUGACGACAGCCAUGCACCACCUGUGAAGAUCCAGCCGAACUGACCCCGUGUUUCCACGGGUACGAUCCACAUGUCAAGCCCAGGUAAGGUUCUUCGCGUUGCGUCGAAUUAAACCACAUGCUCCACCGCUUGUGCAGGCCCCCGUCAAUUUCUUUGAGUUUUAACCUUGCGGCCGUACUCCCCAGGCGGAUGACUUAAAGCGUUAGCUGCGCCACCGAAACGCUAAGCGCCCCGACAGCUAGUCAUCAUCGUUUAGGGCGUGGACUAC